GUUGGCUUUGGCAGCACUUUCUAAAAUCAGAAUGAUGCAGAUAAGAUUAACACGGCUCCCAUAUAGAUUACACAAAAUUUUAUGAAGCAUUUCAUAUUUUA
rnacentral:snRNA from 1 species